rnacentral:rRNA from 1 species
UUGCCUACGGGAGGCAGCAGCGAGGAAUAUUGGUCAAUGGGCGGGAGCCUGAACCAGCCAAGCCGCGUGAGGGAAGAAGGUACAGCGUAUCGUAAACCUCUUUUGUCAGGGAACAAAGGCGGGGACUAGUCCCCGGAUGAGGGUACCUGAAGAAAAAGCAUCGGCUAACUCCGUGCCAGCAGCCGCGGUAAUACGGAGGAUGCGAGCGUUAUCCGGAUUUAUUGGGUUUAAAGGGUGCGCAGGCGGCGAGUUAAGUCAGCGGUAAAAUUUCGGGGCUCAACCCCGACGAGCCGUUGAAACUGGCU